rnacentral:rRNA from 1 species
AGAGUUUGAUCAUGGCUCAGAUUGAACGCUGGCGGCAGGCUUAACACAUGCAAGUCGAACGGUAACAGGGAGAAAGCUUGCUUUCCUUGCUGACGAGUGGCGGACGGGUGAGUAAUGCUUGGGAAUCUGGCUUAUGGAGGGGGAUAACUACGGGAAACUGUAGCUAAUACCGCGUAAUAUCUUCGGAUUAAAGGGUGGGACCGUAAGGCCACCUGCCAUAAGAUGAGCCCAAGUGGGAUUAGGUAGCUGGUGGGGUAAAGGCCUACCAAGCCGACGAUCUCUAGCUGGUCUGAGAGGAUGGCCAGCCACACUGGAACUGAGACACGGUCCAGACUUCUACGGGAGGCAGCAGUGGGGAAUAUUGCACAAUGGGGGGAACCCUGAUGCAGCCAUGCCGCGUGAAUGAAGAAGGCCUUCGGGUUGUAAAGUUCUUUCGGUGAUGAGGAAGGUGUUUGUUUUAAUAGAACAAGCAAUUGACGUUAGUCACAGAAGAAGCACCGGCUAACUCCGUGCCAGCAGCCGCGGUAAUACGGAGGGUGCGAGCGUUAAUCGGAAUGACUGGGCGUAAAGGGCACGCAGGCGGUGACUUAAGUGAGAUGUGAAAGCCCCGGGCUUAACCUGGGAAUUGCAUUUCAUACUGGGUCGCUAGAGUAUUUUAGGGAGGGGUAGAAUUCCACGUGUAGCGGUGAAAUGCGUAGAGAUGUGGAGGAAUACCGAAGGCGAAGGCAGCCCCUUGGGAAUAUACUGACGCUCAUGUGCGAAAGCGUGGGGAGCAAACAGGAUUAGAUACCCUGGUAGUCCACGCUGUAAACGCUGUCUGAUUUGGGGAUUGGGCUUAGAGCUUGGUGCCCGUAGCUAACGUGAUAAA